rnacentral:rRNA from 1 species
UACGUAGGGUCCGAGCGUUGUCCGGAAUUACUGGGCGUAAAGAGCUCGUAGGUGGUUUGUCGCGUUGUUCGUGAAAACUCACAGCUUAACUGUGGGCGUGCGGGCGAUACGGGCAGACUGGAGUACUGCAGGGGAGACUGGAAUUCCUGGUGUAGCGGUGGAAUGCGCAGAUAGUCAGGAGGAACACCGGUGGCGAAGGCGGGUCUCUGGGCAGUAACUGACGCUGGAGGAGCGAAAGCGUGGGGAGCGAACAGG